UGCGUAGGCGGACUAAUAAGUCAGUGGUGAAAUCUUUCGGCUCAACCGAGAAACUGCCAUUGAUACUAUUAGUCUUGAGUUCGGUUGAGGUAGGCGGAAUGUGUAAUGUAGCGGUGAAAUGCUUAGAUAUUACACAGAACACCAAUUGCGUAGGCAGCUUACUAGACCGACACUGACGCUGAGGCACGAAAGCGUGGGGAGCGAACAGGAUUUGAUACCCUGGUAGUCC
rnacentral:rRNA from 1 species